rnacentral:rRNA from 1 species
GAUGAACGCUAGCGGCAGGCUUAAUACAUGCAAGUCGUGGGGCAGCAGGGUUGUAGCAAUACAAUCGCUGGCGACCGGCAAACGGGUGCGUAACACGUACGCAACUUUCCCGUUACUGUGGCAUAGCCCAGGGAAACUUGGAUUAAUACCACAUAUUAUAUUGAGGGGGCAUCCCUUUGAUAUCAAAGCUUCGGCGGUAACGGAUGGGCGUGCGGUUGAUUAGGUAGUCGGCGGGGUAACGGCCCACCAAGCCUACGAUCAAUAGCUGAUGUGAGAGCAUGAUCAGCCACACGGGAACUGAGACACGGGCCCGACUCCUACGGGAGGCAGCAGUAAGGAAUAUUGGGCAAUGGACGAAAGUCUGACCCAGCCAUGCCGCGUGAAGGAUUAAGGUCCUCUGGAUUGUAAACUUCUUUUCUCUGGGGCGAAAACCAGCUAUUCUUAGCUAUUUGACAGUACCAGAGGAAUAAGCACCGGCUAACUCCGUGCCAGCCGCCGCCGUAAAAC